GACGAACGCUGGCGGCGUGCCUAAUACAUGCAAGUCGAGCGGAUUGAUGGGAGCUUGCUCCCUAAGAUCAGCGGCGGACGGGUGAGUAACACGUGGGCAACCUGCCUAUAAGACUGGGAUAACUUCGGGAAACCGGAGCUAAUACCGGAUAUUUCCUUUCCUCACAUGGGGGAAGGCCAAAAGAUGGUUUACGCUAUCACUUAUAGAUGGGCCCGCGGCGCAUUAGCAGUUGGUGAGGUAAUGGCUCACCAAGGCAACGAUGCGUAGCCGACUGAGAGGGUGAUCGGCCACACUGGGACUGGAGACACGGCCCAGACUCCUACGGGAGCAGCAGUAGGGAAUCUUCCGCAAUGGACGAAAGUCUGACGGAGCAACGCCGCGUGAGUGAU
rnacentral:rRNA from 1 species